UAAUUUAAGGUCUAGCCUGCCCACUGAAAUUUUAAAUGGCCGUGGUAUUUUGACCGUGCUAAGGUAGCAUAAUCAUUAGUUUUUUAAUUAAAAACUGGAAUGAAAGGUUGGAUAAGAAAAUAGCUGUCUCUAUUAAAUUUAAUUAGAAUUUUAUUUUUAAGUUAAAAAGCUUAAAUAUUAUUAAAAGACGAGAAGACCCUAUAGAGUUUUAUUAUUUAAUAAAAAUUAUAUUUUAGUAUUAAUUUAUUUAUUUUAUUAAAUAAUUUAAUUGGGGUGAUUGAAAAAUUUAAUUAACUUUUUUUAUUUAAAAACAUUAAUUUAUGAUUGUAUGAUCCAAUAUUUUUGAUUAUAAGAUAAAAUUACCUUAGGGAUAACAGCGUAAUUUUUUUAGAAAGUUCAUAUUAAAAAAAAAGAUUGCGACCUCGAUGUUGGAUUAAAAUAAAUUUUUGGUGUAGGUGCUAAAAUAUUGGGUCUGUUCGACCUUUAAAAUUUUA
rnacentral:rRNA from 1 species